AUGUACUCCGUUUUGUUAAUUUUCGUUCUGGUGAAACUUAUUUUCCUGAGGAGAAGAAAACAUACAUUUUCAAAAAGAGCAACCGCUUCAAUGCGUGCUUUGUUAGCUCAAAGAUGCCACCUCUUGGUAAGAUAUUAGACGACAUACAUUCAGCUCUUAACCAAAAUAACUUAUGACGAUGAGCUUCCAGUUCCUGUAAGAAAGACCUAUCCAGUAACCAAUGUUUUCUUAUAAAAAUUGGGAGAACAAAUUUGACAUGUUAUAUGAUCUUAUGUUGACCUACAGUCAAACCAAAAAUUAUUCGGACACUAGAUAUACAUAUGUGGCAGAGAGGAGGACACUAGGACCUGGGGAAGAAUUGGGUGAGGCAUGACUGGUAGGGGUGCUAGAACUAAUUGUCACACAAACAAGACCAGGUGAAACAACUUAUUUAAGAUAAGCCAAACGAUCAGAAGAUGAGAAGGUGAACAGGAAGCUGGGCUCUUUGUUUGUUCAGGGGGCGAGCUGAUUCAGUGCAUAACGCAAACUGCUAAAACAAGCAUUUUGAUUCAUCAUGAGCGGGGCUGAUUACUGAUGCAUUAUUGGAAGGCACAAGCUACUAAAACAAGGCGGUUGCACUCGAGGGACAGUGGGCGCACGUGUGGUGUUUCCUUUUAUUGGAUGCAGUGGUUUGGUGUGAGGGUGUCACAUAGGAGGAAGUAGAUGUUUGGUGUUGAUCUCAGUGGGUCUCGGGCUCAUUUGUGUUCUUCUGCUGGUCUUCAUCAUACUGCUGUACAUCACCAUCACAGCAGAGAGAGACCUGAUAAAGAGUUACAAGAACACCGUUGAAGAGCUCAAUCAAACCAUCAACAGCUUACAGGACAAACACACUGAUCUAACACAGAAGAACCUGGAGCUGGAGACCAAAGUUAAAAAUCUCACUGCUGAGAAAGACCAGCUACAGAGAGAUUUUGACUCUUUGAAUAAGAAGGGCCUAGUUAAUUUCUUCAUGUCCACUGAGUUGAAGAACUGGUCUGACAGCAGACAGUACUGCAGGGAUCGUGGAGCUGAUCUGGUCAUUAUCAACACUGAAGAGAAGCAGAGGUUCAUAUCUUCAGUAGUCAAGGAAAGAGUGUGGAUUGGUUUGUCUGACACAGAGACCGAGGGCGUCAUGAAAUGGGUGGAUAAUUCAACACUGAAACAAGGGUUUUGGCUGAAAGGUGAGCCAAACAACGAUGGAAAUGAGGACUGUAUUGAACUGAAUUAUAAUAGAGAGAAGUCGGGAUGGUCACCACUGAACAGCUGGAAUGAUCUGCCAUGCUCUGAGAAGAAAAAGGGGAUUUGUGAGAAAUAGGGUUCAACCUUUUCUUAUGGUUUUGCUUUUGUUUUCUAAUAUAAUCAAUCUUAUUGUAAACGCAUAAGUUCUUAUUUAGGUCCCUGCCUUUAAAAUGAAAACAAUCAGCAGAUCUUACAUUUGUUAGAAGGACAAUGUGUAAUUUUCUUAUUGCUAUAAUAAUCUUUAUUUCUGAUGGCCUGAAUUCGGGUGAUCUGGGACACAAAACCUCUGAUGUGUUCAUGUUUUGCUGCAUCACAAGCAGCUCUGUAUUAAUAUGAUCUUAGUUCAGUUGUUAUCAUGAUCUCAUUGUUGAUCUGAAGUGUUGAGGAGACAAUCACAGUAAACUACAGAAGUCUAACUUCUGUCUAACUUCAGAUUACUCUGAUUCAUCGUCUUAUUCUGAUAUUGAGUGUCUGUAAUUGCUUUCUCUCUGAAUAAAUUUGC